AGUAACGCGUAAGAACUUGCCCUUUAGACUGGGAUAACAGAGGGAAACUUCUGAUAAUACUGGAUAAGUUAGUAUAUCGCAUGAUAUGCAAAAUGAAAGCUACGGCACUAAAGGAGAGCUUUGCGUCCUAUUAGCUAGUUGGUAAGGUAAGAGCUUACCAAGGCGAUGAUAGGUAGCCGGCCUGAGAGGGUGGACGGCCACAAGGGGACUGAGAUACGGCCCUUACUCCUACGGGAGGCAGCAGGC
rnacentral:rRNA from 1 species